GCGAGGUUAGUUUAACGGUGAGAACGCCUAUCUUACACAUAGGCAGCAGUGGUUCGACUCCACUACCUUGUA